AGAAUCAACGCUGGCGGCGUGCCUAACACAUGCAAGUCGAACGAGAAAGUGGAGCAAUCCAUGAGUAAAGUGGCGCACGGGUGAGUAACACGUGACUAACCUACCCUUGAGUGGGGGAUAAACCUAGGGAAACCUGGGCUAAUACCGCAUAAUACCUUCGGGUCAAAGGAGCAAUUCGCUUUAGGAGGGGGUCGCGGCCGAUUAGUUAGUUGGCGGGGUAAUGGCCACCAAGACGAUGAUCGGUA
rnacentral:rRNA from 1 species